AGCAUAUGAUAAAAAGAUCAUAACAUGUCAUUUUUCAUAUCGCAUGUUUUAACAGCCCUCAGUCAAUAUCAGCCCUCGAGCCAUGCUGUUCUUGGGCUAAUAUUGAACCUAGGGGUGAUAAUACAUGCGAUAUGAAAAAUGACAUGUUAUGAUCUUUUUAUCAUAUGCU
rnacentral:sRNA from 1 species